rnacentral:rRNA from 1 species
AGUGAACGCUGGCGGCAGGCUUAACACAUGCAAGUCGAGCGCCCCGCAAGGGGAGCGGCAGACGGGUGAGUAACGCGUGGGAAUCUACCCAUCUCUACGGAACAACUCCGGGAAACUGGAGCUAAUACCGUAUACGUCCUUCGGGAGAAAGAUUUAUCGGAGAUGGAUGAGCCCGCGUUGGAUUAGCUAGUUGGUGGGGUAAUGGCCUACCAAGGCGACGAUCCAUAGCUGGUCUGAGAGGAUGAUCAGCCACACUGGGACUGAGACACGGCCCAGACUCCUACGGGAGGCAGCAGUGGGGAAUAUUGGACAAUGGGCGAAAGCCUGAUCCAGCCAUGCCGCGUGAGUGAUGAAGGCCCUAGGGUUGUAAAGCUCUUUCAACGGUGAAGAUAAUGACGGUAACCGUAGAAGAAGCCCCGGCUAACUUCGUGCCAGCAGCCGCGGUAA